AAUACUCCUCGUCCUCUCUCAUUCCUCUUUUCUCUCUGCUCACCGAACCCAGAAAGAGAGAGACUCGAACCUUGUAUUUCUUUCUCCUCGAUGCAUUUUCACGAUAUUUUUAUUUCUCUCUCUCAUUCUACUUCAUUACACCGAUUAGUUAGAGUUUUUCUCAUUCCUCUUUUCUCUCUGCUCACCGAACCCAGAAAGAGAGACUCGAACCUUCUAUUUCUUUCUCCUCGAUCCAUUUUCACGGUAUUUUCAUUUCUCUCUCUCAUUCUACUUCAUUACACCGAUUAGUUAGAGUUUUUUUCUUCUUGCUUAUUUACUUCUUAAUUAUACACCGAUUUUGUAUUUCAUUUUUCGCGAUCUUUAUUAUUUUAUACUCAGAUUUGUCUAACUUUGCUCUUUUACCAAUUUCAUCACAAAAUAGAUUGUGGAUAACUAAUGAGUGAUCUGUGAUCUUUAUGAUGAAUCAUUCUAUCUGAAUCUGGUCUUCUACACUCUGGAUCUGAGAUCUUUUUUAACUAUUGUGUGUUUGUAGUAUCUAAAUAAUUUCGGUUUUGUUGAUUUGUUGACUGGAUUUACUGUCUGAUCUGUUAUUUUAAGUGAGAAUCUCGCUGUUUUUUCUCUAUAUCAUAUUAUAUACUAUUAAAGUGAUUUGAAAUUGGUUGAUUUAAAUAUAUAAUUCAUAUAACUUCUAAAUGAAAAUAAAAAUUUCCCUCUAUCAUGUGCAUAGUUGUGUCCACAAAUAAAUGGUUGCGAGGGCUCAGUUGUUACAUUUAUGGGAAUUGAACGUGCUCUCCAUGACAUCGACCACUAUUAAGACUUAUGCACAAUGUCAUUUGAGGAUUUUAUUUGGUCGAUUUAAUAAUCUUGUAAAGAAAUCGAUAAUAAUGUAAUCAUUUUGCUUUAUUUUUGCAUAGGUUGCUUAGGAUUUAUUGGGGGUGUUUUCCAAUUUUUAUCGUCUCAUUAGUUGGUGCUAUAUAUAUAUAGACACACACGAGACAAUCUCUUUUGAAAAAUAACUAAUUAUACACAUGUAAUUUCCAAAGUGGAAAUCAUUUCUUGAAAAUAAGUGGAAAAUCAUUUAUACUAUUAUUACAAUAUAUAAACAAGAUACGAAUUUUUGUUCAAUAGUGGAAGUUACACGUAUCAUAUACUUAGUAAGAAGAGGGCUAUUUCUGUAUUUAUUUAAUUUUUCUCUUUCC
rnacentral:lncRNA from 1 species